GAUGAAGAACGCAGCGAAAUGCGAUACGUAAUGUGAAUUGCAAAUUCAGUGAAUCAUCGAGUCUUUGAACGCACAUUGCGCCCCCUGGUAUUCCGGGGGGCAUGCCUGUCCGAGCGUCAUUGCUGCCCUCAAGCACGGCUUGUGUGUUGGGCCCCGUCCUCCGAUCCCGGGGGACGGGGCCGAAAGGCAGCGGCGGCACCGCGUCCGGUCCUCGAGCGUAUGGGGCUUUGUCACCCGCUCUGUAGGCCCGGCCGGCGCUUGCCGAUCAACCCAAAUUUUUUAUCCAGGUUGACCUCGGAUCAGGUAGGGAUACCCGCUGAACUUAAGCAUAUCAAUAAGCGGAGGA
rnacentral:misc_RNA from 1 species